rnacentral:rRNA from 2 species
GAGUUUGAUCAUGGCUCAGGAUGAACGCUAGCGGCAGGCCUAAUACAUGCAAGUCGAACGGGACUUGGUAGCAAUAUCAAGUUCAGUGGCGCACGGGUGCGUAACGCGUAUGCAACCUACCUUUAACUGGGGGAUAGCCUUCCGAAAGGGAGAUUAAUACCGCAUAAUAUCAUUUGAUGGCAUCUGAAGAUGAUUAAAGAUUUAUUGGUUAAAGAUGGGCAUGCGUGCCAUUAGCUAGUUGGUAGUGUAACGGACUACCAAGGCGACGAUGGCUAGGGGUUCUGAGAGGAUGAUCCCCCACACUGGUACUGAGAUACGGACCAGACUCCUACGGGAGCAGCAGUAGGGAAUAUUGGGCAAUGGACGGAAGUCUGACCCAGCCAUGCCGCGUGCAGGAAGAAGGCCUUCUGGGUUGUAAACUGCUUUUUGUACGGGAAGAAACACUCCCUCGUGAGGGAGCUUUGACGGUACCGUAAGAAUAAGGAUCGGCUAACUCCGUGCCAGCAGCCGCCGC